CACACACACACACACACACACACACACACACACACACACACACACACACACUGCCCAGCCCUGACUGGCUCUGCACUUAGCCACUGCUGUGUUUCCAACAACACGUAUCACAUUGGUGACGCCCUCUUGCCCUGCAACAGCCUUUAAGAUUCUUUGUCAGCAUUUCACUACUGUUGGGGGAGCCCUUAAGACUGAAGGAAUCAGGGCUGGAGAGAAGGCUCAGUGGUUAAGAGCACUGGCUGCCUUUCCAAUGAUCCAGUUCGAUUCCCUGCACCCACAUGGCAGCUCCCACCUGUCUGUAAUUCCAGAAGGAAGGAAGAUUAAGGAAGGAAGGAAGGAAGGAAGGAAGGAAGGAAGGAAGGAAGGAAGGAAGGAAGGAAGGAAGGAAUGAGUCCUGAGACCACAGCUACCCAAAUCAGGAAGGCUCCACACUGAUGCCAUUGAACACCACCAGUGUGUUCAGAAGACGUCAUGGUCCAGUGUUCAAGGCUCUGUCUACACAGCAGAAGGAAGAUGAUCCCCUUUCCAUUUCUCCCACAGGGAUGCACCAGGACCAACAGGAAAUUGCACCUCAUCAUGGACAACAGCAAAAGCACAGGGCAGAAACAGCGGCCUGCUCUCCUGACUCUGCGUGUACCCUGUGUAUCCUCAAACAAGCCAUCUACAAAACCUACUGGUCACUGGUAAUGAGACAGAGCGGCCUUGUAGAUAAAAAGGGAGGACAUAUCAAGUGCUCACGGCAGGGAGAGAGGCGUGUCACUAAUUCCACACGUGGACAAGACACAAGAGUGGGCCGGCUGCUGUGCUGCCUCCCUCAAUGAGGGUAGUCCGAACCCCAUGGCUACAGGAACCCCAAGGGGACAACUGACUUCAUCAUGGACACUUCUCCCCUUUUCUCUACACCAGGACAGGUCUUGAUGUCUGUCAACAAGGCUUUCAGUGCCCUGCCCCACCCCAUCACACCCCACUAACUCCAUACCCCACAGCCACGCAAGUCUGCUUCCUCCAAAUCAAGGACACAGCCCAUAUCUUCUUUGAUCCACUCCCACGAAGCCUCUGGCCUGACUGGAACUUACAGAAAUAAUCUAGGUUGUGUGAAGGAUGGUGGAUGUCUUGAAUAGCCAGGCACCAACACCAGAAUUGUUGCAGUUCAGCCUUGCAAAUGACCAGAGUGAGAUGCCGUGACCAUUAGACACACCGCAGACAAGUAAAUGGAAACUUGAUAAAGCCAAGAGUGACGACAUAUCAAACUUCUAAGAACCAGUAUAUAGGGCUGGAGAGAUGGCUCAGAGGUUAAGAGCACCGGCUGCUCUUCCAGAGGUCCUGAGUUCAAUUCCCAGCAACCACAUGGUGGCUCACAGCCAUCCGUUAUGAGAUCUGGUGCCCUCUUCUGGUGUGCAGAUAAACAUGGAAGCAGAAUGUUGUAUACAUAAUAAGUAAAUAAAAUCUUUAAAAAAAAUAAAGAAAGAACGAGUAUAUAGAAGGUUUACU
rnacentral:lncRNA from 1 species